CGCUCGGGGCAGCAGAGCAGCAGCGGCAGCAAUAGCAGCAAGGGAAGGCGGGGCCAGGGCAUGGCACGCAAAUCGGAACGGCGAGCCCAGACGGCGAAAGGCGUCGCGACCUCCGUUGGCCGGAAUGACAUCCAUGCAAAAAAGGAAUUCUUCAUCUUGAACAUCUAAGUUGGGAUGGACUUCAGGAAGUGGCAUCCAUAUAGAGAACUGGUUGUUCAUAUAUUUGAAUCCCACCACUGCUUACAGUAUAACAUCUCUUCAUAUUAUCUGCAUAAAGUUGCAUGGAAUAGUUUGACUCUUGGUCAUAUCGUAUGUUUCAAUUUACCUCUAAGCAGAA